UUGGACCUGCGUUAUUCGUGAUAUGUAUUGCAGAAAAGCCGAGAAUAUAUUGGGAGUCGGGCCAUUAGUGGCAUGCGCGCCGUUAAUUCGGAUACAUAAAGCUGACAAGGUAGAUUCCCACCUGCAAUAAUGGCUUGUACCUGACAAGCAUACACGGUAUCUGCGGGUCAUCU
rnacentral:other from 1 species